UCCCUAUCAAGACAAGUCAUCUAGGACUACC
rnacentral:piRNA from 1 species